rnacentral:rRNA from 1 species
UACAGAGGUCUCAACCGUUGUUCGGAUUCAUUGGGCGUAAAGGGUGCGUAGGCGGUCGCGCAAGUCGGAUGUGAAAUCUCAGGGCUCAACCCUGAAACUGCAUUCGAUACUGCGUGGCUAGAGUGCUGGAGGGGAGACUGGAAUUCCUGGUGUAGCGGUGGAAUGCGCAGAUAUCGGGAGGAACACCAGCGGCGAAGGCGCUGACCUGGACGAAGAUUGACGCUGAGGUGCGAAAGCGCGGGGAGCAAACAGG